CUAUUACGUUAGUGCAAAAGUAAUUGCGGUUUUUGCCAUGACUUUUAAUGGCAAAAACCGCAAUUACUUUUGCAUCAAC
rnacentral:miRNA from 1 species